AUACGGAGGAUCCGAGCGUUAUCCGGAUUUAUUGGGUUUAAAGGGAGCGUAGGCGGACGCUUAAGUCAGUUGUGAAAGUUUGCGGCUCAACCGUAAAAUUGCAGUUGAUACUGGGUGUCUUGAGUACAGUAGAGGCAGGCGGAAUUAGUGGGGUAGGGGGGAAAUGCUUAGAUAUCACGAAGAACUCCGAUUGCGAAGGCAGCCUGCUGGACUGUAACUGACGCUGAUGCUCGAAAGUGUGGGUAUCAAACAGGAUUAGAUACCCUGGUAGUCCACACAGUAAACGAUGAAUACUCGCUGUUUGCGAUAUACAGUAAGCGGCAAGCGAAAGCGUUAAGUAUUCCACCUGGGGAGUACGCCGGCAACGGUGAAACUCAAAUGAAUUGGCGGGG
rnacentral:rRNA from 1 species